AGUUUGAUCAUGGCUCAGAUUGAACGCUGGCGGCAGGCUUAACACAUGCAAGUCGAGCGGGGAAAGGUAGCUUGCUACUUGACCUAGCGGCGGACGGGUGAGUAAUGCUUAGGAAUCUGCCUAUUAGUGGGGGACAACAUCUCGAAAGGGAUGCUAAUACCGCAUACGUCUUACGGGAGAAAGCAGGGGACCUUCGGGCCUUGCGCUAAUAGAUGAGCCUAAGUCGGAUUAGCUAGUUGGUGGGGUAAAGGCCUACCAAGGCGACGAUCUGUAGCGGGUCUGAGAGGAUGAUCCGCCACACUGGGACUGAGACACGGCCCAGACUCCUACGGGAGGCAGCAGUGGGGAAUAUUGGACAAUGGGGGGAACCCUGAUCCAGCCAUGCCGCGUGUGUGAAGAAGGCCUUUUGGUUGUAAAGCACUUUAAGCGAGGAGGAGGCUACCGAGAUUAAUACUCUUGGAUAGUGGACGUUACUCGCAGAAUAAGCACCGGCUAACUCUGUGCCAGCAGCCGCGGUAAUACAGAGGGUGCAAGCGUUAAUCGGAUUUACUGGGCGUAAAGCGCGCGUAGGUGGCCAAUUAAGUCAAAUGUGAAAUCCCCGAGCUUAACUUGGGAAUUGCAUUCGAUACUGGUUGGCUAGAGUAUGGGAGAGGAUGGUAGAAUUCCAGGUGUAGCGGUGAAAUGCGUAGAGAUCUGGAGGAAUACCGAUGGCGAAGGCAGCCAUCUGGCCUAAUACUGACACUGAGGUGCGAAAGCAUGGGGAGCAAACAGGAUUAGAUACCCCGGUAGU
rnacentral:rRNA from 1 species